UUUCAAUUCACAACUACCUCUUUAUAAAUUUAUAAAUUUUCCAACAUUUCAAGCUCUCUCUCUCUCUGUAGUUCGCAUAUGGACCCAAAAUCUAGAAGAUGAGUGUAGAUCUGGUCGCCUCGAAUACCCAUGGGAAUCUCGAUGAGCAGAUUGCACAGCUCAUGCAGUGCAAACCCUUGUCCGAGCCUGAGGGCCUUCAAAUGGCUUUUGGCAUGAAUUUGUGGAUAUUUUUUCUAUACGGAGGAUAAUUUACACUUUUGUAUAAUCUAAUUUUUUUUUUUUUUUUGUGUACGGAGGACAUGUUUUGGUGUGAUUUUGUAUUUUGUAUGAAAUUAUUAUUUUAGGUUGGAAUAUACUUAGUUUGUAUGAAAUUUGACAUUAAAAGGUAUUUCUUUUUGGAUAGCUGGAAGUGAAAUGGAUGCAAAUUGCAGAAUGGUUGAUGAUA